AGAGCGAACGCUGGCGGCAGGCCUAACACAUGCAAGUCGAGCGCCGUAGCAAUACGGAGCGGCAGACGGGAGAGUAACACGUGGGAACGUACCCUUCAGUUCGGAACAACCCAGGGAAACUUGGGCUAAUACCGAAUACGUCCGUAAGGAGAAAGAUUUAUCGCUGAAGGAUCGGCCCGCGUCUGAUUAGCUUGUUGGUGAGGUAAUGGCUCACCAAGGCUACGAUCAGUAGCUGGUCUGAGAGGAUGAUCAGCCUCACUGGGACUGAGACACGGCCCAGACUCCUACGGGAGGCAGCAGUGGGGAAUAUUGGACAAUGGGCGCAAGCCUGAUCCAGCCAUGCCGCGUGGGUGAUGAAGGCCCUAGGGUGUAAAGCCCUUUCGGCGGGAAGAUAAAUGACGGUACCCGCAGAAGAAGCCCGGCUAACUUCGCGCCGAGCAGCCGC
rnacentral:rRNA from 1 species